rnacentral:lncRNA from 1 species
AACCAAACUCAGGUUCUCUGCAAGAAAAGUCAGUGCUCUUAACCUAGGGGCCAUCUUUCCUGUCCAUAUGGUUCAUUUCUAAUGAGGUCCUUUUCCUGAGUCUGCAAAUGGAGAAGGAGAAGACCAGGGAGAGAAGGUCUCUGGCAUCUCUUCAUACAGGAUACUGUUGUGAUAGGAUCAAGUUCCAGCCUUAUGAAUUUAUUUAACUUACGUUUUCUUCCUUAGGGCCCCCUCUCCAGACAUAGCUAACCUGGGGACUUCAAUAUGUGAGUUUGGGGAGCUAUAAAUAUUUUUCUGUGUACUUAUUUUGUUUAUUUGAUUUUGUUUCUUGUUUUUUAUGCUGGUACUGAGUCUAUAAUCUUCCUUACAGGUGUGCACCACAAUACCUGGUCAACAAGGGCAACAAGUACUUUCUUGGAUGUCCAAAGGAAAUCCAGCCAUUGCAAAGCAGGAGCAAAAACAACUCCCUUCUCCUCAGACUCAACGAGAGAUACACCCCCCAACACUGAAGAAUCUUGGCUUCCAGUAAAAUGUUUUCUGACUUCCCAUCACAUUGAAUCAUCUUCUGUUUCCCCACUGCACCCUGUUCCUCUUGCACAUGCCUGGUGUCAGCUGACCUGGGUGAACCACACAAUUCCCGGAGGAGGUUUGGAAACAGCUUCACCAUCAUUAUGAGAAGACGCAAAGAGAGGGUUGAAAUACAGAUUCAUGGACGUUAGUGGAGAAAGGAAAGAACAGCCUUGUCUUCCUGCCCUAGAGAUAGGUCAUUAGCAAUUCUACCUUUUAUCUGCUCCUGUGGGAAACCAUGAUCUCAACAGCAUAGGAACACAACAUGAAAAACUCCCCCCACACAAAGGAAAUGAAAGCGGUAUCUCCACCUCAUGUCAUGGAUGCAGAAAUCUGAACUCAUUCACCUCUCUACUUAUCCCAGCUUUGUCAAGGUAAGUCCUUUAUUGCACUGUUCCAAAGGCUUUAUAGAGGAAGUAAUUUACAUGACAGUAAUUACGUUGCUAUAUUUAGAAAUGUGCUCUUUACUCAUUCCUGCUAACUUGCAUUUGCUUAAACAUUCAAUGGGCUUUUGAAAACUCAGAAGGCCUGUAUAUGUUACUAUUUAAAAUAUGACAUUUUGAUGAAAGACAAUGUCGGUGCAUUUUCUGCCCUUUGGAGGUUCUGGGAAGGACCAGAAGAAUACUAACUCCAAAGUUCCUUUGUAAAUAAUGCAGUGUAGAGAAAGAAAAAUUGCCUGUGCGGACACAAGCUAGAGUUAUUUGAAAGGAGGGAACCUCAAUUGAGAAAAUGCCUCCAUAACAUGUAAGGCAUUUUCUUAAUUAGUGAUUGAUCGGGGAGAGCUUGAAAGGCCUGGAUAAAGAAAACCCCCUCAGCAGACAAAAUAAGGCCUAGGAUAUAGGGUAGCUAGCUUUCCCUAUUGGGAAACUAAAAAAAAAAAAAACAAAGACGAUAGUAAUUGGGGCAACUGGACAGAAACAAUACCCAUGGACCACCUGGGAAGAGGACAAGUGACUCAUUCCUUCUUAGUUAUUCCUGAGUGUCCUAUGCCUUUACUGGGAAGAGAUUUGUUAACAAAGUUAAAAGCCCAGAUCAGGUUCACUCGAAUUGGACCGGAGGUGACACGGGAAACUCCCACUUCCAUGGCAUUGGCCCU